rnacentral:rRNA from 1 species
CUCUGUUUGAAAAUCAUAAAUAGUAUAGCCUGCCCACUGGUAAGCUGAAGGGCCGCGGUACCCUGACCGUGCAAAGGUAGCAUAGUAAUUAGUUCUUUAAUUGAGGACUGGGAUGAACGGUUGGACGAGAAGUUGGCUGUCUCUAAUAUAAAUUUUGAAAUUUACUUUUAAGUGAAAAGGCUUAAAUAAAAUAAAGGGACGAUAAGACCCUGUAAAACUUUACUUUCUGGUUUAAAAGUGUAAGAGUAAAAGUGUAAUAUUUGCUUUUAGGGCAGAUGUUUUAUUGGGGCGAUAGAAAUAUAAAAUUGUUAACUGUUUUCUUUUAUUAUAGCAAUAAUAAUAAUAAUAAUAAUUAGAUUAAAUGAUCCUUUAGUAUGGACUACGAGAUUAAGUUACUUUAGGGAUAACAGCGUAAUUUCUCUUGAGAGUCCUAAUCGACAGAGUUAGUUGCGACCUCGAUGUUGAAUUAAGAUAUCACUUAGGCGGAGGAGCUUAAGUAGUAGGUCUGUUCGACCUUUAAAAUCUUACAUGAUUUGAGUUCAAACCGGCG